AGCGAACGCUGGCGGCAGGCUUAACACAUGCAAGUCGAGCGGGCCCUUCGGGGUCAGCGGCGGACGGGUGAGUAACGCGUGGGAACGUGCCUUCUGGUCUGGAAUAACCCUGGGAAACUAGGGCUAAUACCGGAUACGCCCUCUUGGGGAAAGGUUUACUGCCGGAAGAUCGGCCCGCGUCUGAUUAGCUAGUUGGUGGGGUAACGGCCUACCAAGGCGACGAUCAGUAGCUGGUCUGAGAGGAUGGUCAGACACACUGGGACUGAGACACGGCCCAGACUCCUACGGGAGGCAGCAGUGGGGAAUAUUGGACAAUGGGCGCAAGCCUGAUCCAGCCAUGCCGCGUGAGUGAUGAAGGCCUUAGGGUUGUAAAGCUCUUUUAUCCGGGACGAUAAUGACGGUACCGGAGGAAUAAGCCCCGGCUAACUUCGUG
rnacentral:rRNA from 1 species